ACAGGGUAAAUUAUACACCUGUUACAUACAUCUAUAGGUUUAAAACGAGGAAAAGGUUUGUCACGUGUCAUUGUUAAAUAGCGGCGAUGUGGGCGUGGCUAAAUGGCGUUGAUGUGAAGCGGAAUCCAGAGAGCCUACAGAUAUGGAAACUGCUCUGAGGCAGAUUCUCCAGCAGAACCAGAAGAAGAGGAGAUGCAGAGAAGAGAUAACAUCAAGAAACUGGUCAUGAUUGAGAUCAAACUGCCAGAUGAAGGACAGCAGGCUGAAGGACACAAAGAACCAUCAGAAAUGGAUGAACAAUAUCACUGACAAUGAAGCUAUAAGAACAGAUAAACAACCCUAUAAUAUAUUACAGUGUUUUAUAUGUUGAUAUAAAUAACUAAUAGAAGAAAAGUAGAUUCUUAAUCACACACCGCUUGGCAUUUACCUCAAUAUAGUUGACACUUUUCUAAAUGUAUUACAAAAACUAAUAAUUGAUUGUAGAUGUAGAAGAUGCCCCUCCACCUCAAUUUCUUGCCUCCUGCUUUCUGGAAAAUGUUUUCUUUUUCUUGAAUGCAUAUAUUUCCGUCCGUCCGUCCCUCCCUCCCCUCGGAUUUGCCCGCUUUGUCCCGGCCUGCCUCUGGGUAUUGUUCUCUUCCACUGGAGGUCACUCUGUGGAGCUGGGGAUGGUUUCAUAACAACAGCCUGAAGAUUCAUGAAAUGACGGAGUAACACAGAGCUUUGAGGACGGAUUUGGACUGUAGUUAAUGUUAGCAGUCUGCUACGCUGAUUCAGG